ensembl:snRNA U6 U6 spliceosomal RNA
GUGCUGGCUUCAGCAGCACAUAUACUAAAAUUGGAACAAUGCAGAGAAGAUUAGCAUGGCCCCUGCACAAGGAUGACAUGCAAAUUUGUAAAGCAUUCCAUAUUUUU